UACGAAGGGGGCUAGCGUUGUUCGGAAUUACUGGGCGUAAAGCGCGCGCAGGCGGUCCUUUAAGUCAGGGGUGAAAGCCCAGAGCUCAACUCUGGAACUGCCUUUGAAACUAGAGGACUUGGGUACGGGAGAGGUGAGUGGAAUUCCGAGUGUAGAGGUGAAAUUCGUAGAUAUUCGGAAGAACACCAGUGGCGAAGGCGGCUCACUGGCUCGUAACUGACGCUCAUGCACGACAGCGUGGGGAUCAAACAGG
rnacentral:rRNA from 1 species